rnacentral:rRNA from 1 species
AACGUAGGUGGCGAGCGUUAUCCGGAUUUACUGGGGCGUAAAGGGUGUGCAGGCGGGAGGUCAAGUGGUGUAUGAAAGGAGGCGGCUCAACUGCCUCAUGUUAUGCCAGACUGGCCCUCUAGAGGACCAAACAGGGCUGUGGAAUUCCGGGUGUAGUGGUGAAAUGCGUAGAGAUCCGGAGGAACCCCAGAGGCGAAGGCGGCAGCCUGGUCGGCUCCUGACGCUCGGACACGAUAGCAUGGGGGAGCGAACGGGG